AUGAACGCUAGCUACAGGCUUAACACAUGCAAGUCGAGGGGCAGCAUUUUAGUUUGCUUGCAAACUGAAGAUGGCGACCGGCGCACGGGUGAGUAACACGUAUCCAACCUGCCGAUAACUCCGGAAUAGCCUUUCGAAAGAAAGAUUAAUACCGGAUAGCAUACGAAUAUCGCAUGAUAUUUUUAUUAAAGAAUUUCGGUUAUCGAUGGGGAUGCGUUCCAUUAGUUUGUUGGCGGGGUAACGGCCCACCAAGACUACGAUGGAUAGGGGUUCUGAGAGGAAGGUCCCCCACAUUGGAACUGAGACACGGUCCAAACUCCUACGGGAGGCAGCAGUGAGGAAUAUUGGUCAAUGGGCGAGAGCCUGAACCAGCCAAGUAGCGUGAAGGAUGAAGGCUCUAUGGGUCGUAAACUUCUUUUAUAUGGGAAUAAAGUUUUCCACGUGUGGAAUUUUGUAUGUACCAUAUGAAUAAGGAUCGGCUAACUCCGUGCCAGCAGCCGCGGUAAUACGGAGGAUCCGAGCGUUAUCCGGAUUUAUUGGGUUUAAAGGGAGCGUAGGUGGAUUGUUAAGUCAGUUGUGAAAGUUUGCGGCUCAACCGUAAAAUUGCAGUUGAAACUGGCAGUCUUGAGUACAGUAGAGGUGGGCGGAAUUCGUGGUGUAGCGGUGAAAUGCUUAGAUAUCACGAAGAACUCCGAUUGCGAAGGCAGCUCACUAGACUGUCACUGACACUGAUGCUCGAAAGUGUGGGUAUCAAACAGGAUUAGAUACCCUGGUAGUCCACACAGUAAACGAUGAAUACUCGCUGUUUGCGAUAUACAGUAAGCGGCCAAGCGAAAGCAUUAAGUAUUCCACCUGGGGAGUACGCCGGCAACGGUGAAACUCAAAGGAAUUGACGGGGGCCCGCACAAGCGGAGGAACAUGUGGUUUAAUUCGAUGAUACGCGAGGAACCUUACCCGGGCUUAAAUUGCAACAGAAUAUAUUGGAAACAGUAUAGCCGUAAGGCUGUUGUGAAGGUGCUGCAUGGUUGUCGUCAGCUCGUGCCGUGAGGUGUCGGCUUAAGUGCCAUAACGAGCGCAACCCUUAUCUUUAGUUACUAACAGGUCAUGCUGAGGACUCUAGAGAGACUGCCGUCGUAAGAUGUGAGGAAGGUGGGGAUGACGUCAAAUCAGCACGGCCCUUACGUCCGGGGCUACACACGUGUUACAAUGGGGGGUACAGAAGGCGGCUACCUGGUGACAGGAUGCUAAUCCCAAAAACCUCUCUCAGUUCGGAUCGAAGUCUGCAACCCGACUUCGUGAAGCUGGAUUCGCUAGUAAUCGCGCAUCAGCCAUGGCGCGGUGAAUACGUUCCCGGGCCUUGUACACACCGCCCGUCAAGCCAUGAAAGCCGGGGGUACCUGAAGUACGUAACCGCAAGGAGCGUCCUAGGGUAAAACUGGUAAUUGGGGCU
rnacentral:rRNA from 1 species